GGGAGCCGGAUGCGGGGAAACCAGCACGUCCGGAUCUAACUGAGAGGUGCCGGGGAUAAUACCUCCCAUCGACUCAAAC
rnacentral:ncRNA from 1 species